rnacentral:rRNA from 1 species
AUACGUAGGUGGCAAGCGUUAUCCGGAAUUAUUGGGCGUAAAGAGGGAGCAGGCGGCAGCAAGGGUCUGUGGUGAAAGCCUGAAGCUUAACUUCAGUAAGCCAUAGAAACCAGGCAGCUAGAGUGCAGGAGAGUAUCGUGGAAUUCCAUGUGUAGCGGUGAAAUGCGUAGAUAUAUGGAGGAACACCAGUGGCGAAGGCGACGAUCUGGCCUGCAACUGACGCUCAGUCCCGAAAGCGUGGGGAGCAAAUAGGAUUAGAUACCCUAGUAGUCCACGCCGUAAACGAUGAGUACUAAGUGUUGGAUGUCAAAGUUCAGUGCUGCAGUUAACGCAAUAAGUACUCCGCCUGAGGAGUACGUUCGCAAGAAUGAAACUCAAAGGAAUGGACGGGG